rnacentral:misc_RNA from 1 species
UGGUUCUGGCAUCGAUGAAGAACGCAGCGAAAUGCGAUAAGUAAUGUGAAUUGCAGAAUUCAGUGAAUCAUCGAAUCUUUGAACGCACAUUGCGCCCAUGAGUAUUCUCCUGGGCAUGCCUGUUCGAGCGUCAUUUCAACCCUUAAGCCUAGCUUAGUGUUGGGAAUCUACUGUGGGUGUAUGCCCUGUAGUUCCUGAAAACCAACGGCGGAUUUAUAGUAUCCUCUGAGCGUAGUAAUUUUUCUCGCUUUUGUCAGGUGCUGUAGAUACGGCCGCUAAACCCCCAAUUUUUAAAGGUUGACCUCGGAUCAGGUAGGAAUACCCGCUGA